rnacentral:rRNA from 1 species
GACGAACGCUGGCGGCGUGCUUAACACAUGCAAGUCGAACGGAAAGGCCCUGCUUUUGUGGGGUGCUCGAGUGGCGAACGGGUGAGUAACACGUGAGUAACCUGCCCUUGACUUUGGGAUAACUUCAGGAAACUGGGGCUAAUACCGGAUAGGAGCUCCUGCUGCAUGGUGGGGGUUGGAAAGUUUCGGCGGUUGGGGAUGGACUCGCGGCUUAUCAGCUUGUUGGUGGGGUAGUGGCUUACAAAGGCUUUGACGGGUAGCCGGCCUGAGAGGGUGACCGGCCACAUUGGGACUGAGAUACAGCCCAGACUCCUACGGGAGGCAGCAGUGGGGAAUAUUGCACAAUGGGCGGAAGCCUGAUGCAGCAACGCCGCGUGCGGGAUGACGGCCUUCGGGUUGUAAACCGCUUUCGCCUGUGACGAAGCGUGAGUGACGGUAAUGGGUAAAGAAGCACCGGCUAACUACGU